rnacentral:rRNA from 1 species
AGUGAACGCUGGCGGUAGGCCUAACACAUGCAAGUCGAACGGCAGCACAGUAAGAGCUUGCUCUUACGGGUGGCGAGUGGCGGACGGGUGAGGAAUACAUCGGAAUCUACUUUUUCGUGGGGGGUAACGUAGGGAAACUUACGCUAAUACCGCAUACGACCUACGGGUGAAAGCAAGGGAUCUUCGGACCUUGCGCGAUUGAAUGAGCCGAUGUCGGAUUAGCUAGUUGGCGGGGUAAAGGCCCACCAAGGCGACGAUCCGUAGCUGGUCUGAGAGGAUGAUCAGCCACACUGGAACUGAGACACGGUCCAGACUCCUACGGGAGGCAGCAGUGGGGAAUAUUGGACAAAGGGCGCAAGCCUGAUCCAGCCAUACCGCGUGGGUGAAGAAGGCCUUCGGGUUGUAAAGCCCUUUUGUUGGGAAAGAAAAGCAGCAGGUUAAUACCCCGCUGUUCUGACGGUACCCAAAGAAUAAGCACCGGCUAACUUCGUG